CAGAAUAGAGCUUGAUUAGUUAAGCGUUUCAUUUACACUGAAAGUAUACUGUGCAAAUCAGUUUAUUCUGA
rnacentral:tRNA from 1 species